UACGUAGGGCGCAAGCGUUGUCCGGAAUUAUUGGGCGUAAGGAGCUCGUAGGCGGUUUGUCACGUCGGGUGUGAAAGCCCGGGGCUUAACCCCGGGUCUGCAUUCGAUACGGGCAGACUGGAGUGUGGUAGGGGAGAUCGGAAUUCCUGGUGUAGCGGUGAAAUGCGCAGAUAUCAGGAGGAACACCGGUGGCGAAGGCGGAUCUCUGGCCAUUACUGACGCUGAGGAGCGAAAGCGUGGGAGCGAACAGG
rnacentral:rRNA from 1 species